rnacentral:rRNA from 1 species
UGGCGGGGUAACGGCCCACCAAGGCGACGAUCAGUAGGGGUUCUGAGAGGAAGGUCCCCCACAUUGGAACUGAGACACGGUCCAAACUCCUACGGGAGGCAGCAGUGAGGAAUAUUGGUCAAUGGACGAGAGUCUGAACCAGCCAAGUAGCGUGCAGGAAGACGGCCUAUGGGUUGUAAACUGCUUUUAUAAGGGAAUAUGUACCUUAUGAAUAAGGACCGGCUAAUUCCGUGCCAGCAGCCGCGGUAAUACGGAAGGUCCGGGCGUUAUCCGGAUUUAUUGGGUUUAAAGGGAGCGUAGGCCGGAGAUUAAGCGUGUUGUGAAAUGUAGACGCUCAACGUCUGCACUGCAGCGCGAACUGGUUUCCUUGAGUACGCACAAAGUGGGCGGAAUUCGUGGUGUAGCGGUGAAAUGCUUAGAUAUCACGAAGAACUCCGAUUGCGAAGGCAGCUCACUGGAGCGCAACUGACGCUGAAGCUCGAAAGUGCGGGUAUCGAACAGGAUUAGAUACCCUGGUAGUCCGCACGGUAAACGAUGGAUGCCCGCUUUGGUAGCGGCCAAGCGAAAGCAUUAAGCAUCCCACCUGGGGAGUACGCCGGCAACGGUGAAACUCAAAUGAAUUGACGGAAG